UACGAAGGGGCUAGCGUUGCUCGGAAUCACUGGGCGUAAAGGUGCGUAGGCGGGUCUUUAAGUCAGGGGUGAAAUCCUGGAGCUCAACUCCAGAACUGCCUUUGAUACUGAGGAUCUUGAGUUCGGGAGAGGUGAGUGGAACUGCGAGUGUAGAGGUGAAAUUCGUAGAUAUUCGCAAGAACACCAGUGGCGAAGGCGGCUCACUGGCCCGAGUACUGACGCUGAGGCACGAAAGCGCUGGGGAGCAAACGGGG
rnacentral:rRNA from 1 species